CAGAUCACAGUGGAUGUAUGCGAGUUACAUUUCACGAGUAAACAGCAUGGCUUUUCGUUCACAAUUAUAUCAUCCUAAGCUCAGGCAUUUACUUCUUCCAUGCGCUUUAUUUGUUUGUGGCUUGAUUAUUUUUAUUUGUGGAUUGGUAAGAACCUUUCAUGUUGGAGAAAAAAUGCCAAGAAAUGCCAAAGAAAAAAAAACUGUUCAAGCACGAAAUGAAUAUGUUGAAUGGUGGAAUGCCUUUCCUCUGAUGCUUAGUGCUCUGUUGGGAA